GCCCCCGUAGCUCAGUGGUAGAGCACACCCUUGGUAAGGGUGAGGUCGAGGGUUCAAUCCCCUUCGGUGGCU
rnacentral:tRNA from 1 species